rnacentral:rRNA from 1 species
CCCUUAGAUGUUCUGGGCCGCACGCGUGCUACACUGAGUGGAUCAGCGGGUCAGGUUGCGCGAAAGUGUUUCCUAAUCUUGAAAUCCGCUCGUGAUGGGGAUUGACGGUUGCAAUUUCCUGUCAUGAACGAGGAAUACCUUGUAAGCGCGGGUCAUCAUCCCGCGCUGAAUACGUCCCUGCCCUUUGUACACACCGCCCGUCGCUCCUACCGAUUGAGUGGUCCGGUGAGGCUUUGGGAUCUGGAUGGAAAGAGCGUUUCGCUGUUUCUGCCCGGAAAACUCAGUCGAACCUUAUCAUUUAGAGGAAGGAGAAGUCGUAACA